rnacentral:lncRNA from 1 species
AAUUUUUUUUUGCUGUUACUUAUAGUGCCGAUAAAAAUGUAUUGCAUUUAGAUGAACGAAUUAAGUUAUAAAAUCAUCUUUCUCUUCAAAAUGAAUUGUUAAUUACAGCUCAGUGCGCGGCAGCUAAAUAUUUUUAGCUUUAAUUAAUGGGCAUACAGUACAUAUUCUUAAAUUAAUCCGUAUGAAACAUGGUUAUUUUAGAUUAAAAGAAGCCACCUUACCAGGGAGAAGGGCUGCAAAAAAGCAAACACUGUCCCUUAAUAACAUCAUCGAUCACAUAGGAUUUUCUUACCAGCACCAGCAUUGGGGGGACGAAGUGGAAUAUUAUUAUUUUUACUGACGAAAAGGCCUUUAGUAUCGAUAACAAUGGUGAGGUAUGGGUAUACCGGCCCAAAGGAAUUCGGUAUGAUGCUAAAUAUGUGCACAGGAGAAGAAGAAGCAGCAGAUUUUCCGUAGGUAUGAUUAUAUACUCACUUGAGAUAAAUUAUUUUAUGAAUUACCUUUUCUGUUUCAUUACUAACAUUGAGGAGGACAAAAUUUGUUUUUCAUAGGGCCUAUUUUCAGUGUGUCAACCAGUGGUGGGAUUCAGAAACUUUAACAGCCAAUUUGCUGCAUUAGAUGAUUUCGUAUAUAAAACAUACCGCUAAAAGUUGGAACAGCAGCAUUUAUUUUGUUUUUAUGCAUUUACAUGGGAAGUAUAACAGUAGAAAUAAUUAUUAUUUUAUUUCUUAAUUUGUCUUUUAUAAAAGAACAACAAAAUUAUAAAUUAAAAAGUUUCUCCUAAAUUAUUAUCAGUAAUAUUUUUCCCUACAUGCAUAUUUUAGCCAAACAAUAUAUUUGCCCAAAUUGACAAAAUUUUAGGAAACAGUUACCCGGAACCACUGGGGAUGGGCUGAACUAAAUAACUAUAGCGAAUCUGAUGAGAACCCGGCUGUUAUGCCUGUUCUUUAUUCCUGCCAUUUUCUUCUGAUUUCUUCUAGUCCCAUUGAGAGGUUAGGAGAUGUUGACGCUACAUGCGCCAAUACGUUAGAUGGGGAAUAUAUUGACUUCCAUUCUGUUGAUAGGUUAAAACUGGGCAAUGGGACUAAUGGUUUGAAAUACACAUCAUAUAGUGGUCUGUUUGCCAAUCACAAUGUCUGCUCUCCUCACAGCUGCUUUUUCUGUUGACCAAUCAUCAGAAUGGAAUUGAUGAUGCUUUUUGUCAUUGUGCCUGUUUCAGUUUUAUAUUUAGAACGGAAAGAAUUACACAAAUAUUUCUUCCACUCAUUUAUGCAGGAUCUAACUGCUUUCCAACAGAUUGUAUCAAAUUCUUUAGGUAGCCCUGAUAUAUAGUUAGAUUGUAACAAACUCACCAGUUUCGCUUGUCAUUGCUUUUCACAGGAAAUCUGUCUGUAUAGUGAUUAAAUUCACAAGUUAUUAUACACAGGCAAGCCAAUUUGUUAGCCUAAUAACUAAUCUCUAGGCCUACCUAUGCCAAUGUAGGCUAGCUAUCGUUAGCUCAUAAUAUAGCUCAAGCAUUGGUUUAAACUGAAAAUAAAAGAUAGAAUCAUUGUAUUAACCUCAUUCUUUAUCAAUUUACAAAUUCAAAUUGAUGGCAAUUUUAUAAAUGAUAUUUGUUCUAACUUGUAACAGACGCUUUACUUGUUGCUGUAUUCAUAAUAUUUAUAUUUUCUAGCUGUUUGGGAUUGGAUGUCAACAGCUGGCCCUGGCAAAUUGGUAAGAAUUGAUGGAAAUCUGACAGCCAGUCAAUAUGUUGACAUUUUAGAAAAUGCCCGUAUCCCAUCGGU